UGAAGGUCUUAAAAUGUCCUUCCCUCCCCCUCCCUCAUCCCAGCCUGUGUCCACCCCUCACAAAGCAAAUCUUCCUCUUUCUUGCACAAAGCCACUACUCACAUGGAACUUGGCAGGAGCAUCCUUAUCUCUCCCUAGCUGAACCUUUCAUUUUUGCUUUUCUGUCUCCAGCUUUAAAUAUCCCCAUUGCACUGCCCAAAACCCGCUCCUCUCCCAGCCUCCCCCACCACCUCUGCCUGCCUAAUGAUGUAUGGGGCUUUGUCUUUUUGCCUGGAGCUGACCCAGCCUGCCGAAAGCAAAGGACAAUCUAUUUUGGUUUUUUUUUUCCUUGGCAAAACUCAUCCCUGAAGGAGUUAUUUAAGGAAACUGUGCAUGGAGGAGGGGAGCCAGCAAACAGCAAAGAACUCCUGGUUUAAAGUGAGAGAAGCUGCUGUGAAAGUCCUGGGAUCCUUUCUUCCCCGCCUCAUAUAGGCAUAUCAUGUCAUCACAGAGGCACUAAAUAGAGGGGUUGCUGCAGUGUUUGGGGUCUACUGCUAGCCCUUCAGCUAAAAAAAGAAAUAGAGCUAUUAUCGCCUGUAACAGAUUUUGAGCUUCCUCCACUUAAUAAUUCAGUGGUGAACUUUAGAGCUGCGCUCAGUUGAAAAAUAACUCACAGACUUGGCACCAGUGAGUUCAUCUGCAGAGAUGUGCAGAGCCUGAAGAUUCAAAUUUACACCUCCUGGAUGCAGCUGUAAUUGGGACUCCCGGGAGAGGAAACCCUGACAAGUGACACAAAUAAACCCUGCCAGACCCCCUCCAAGACCUGCAGCAGCAGAAAUUCCCUGGAGGAAUCUCGUGCCCAAAUUACUCUUAAACAAAUGCUUCUGCCAUAACUGAGGAUGUAGCUACCGAUGGUCUGUGAGGUGUUUAUAGAACACAUUUACUGGGCUUAUUUUCAACCGUUUUCUCCCAGUCAGUGAGAAUGAGUUGCUGUGCUGGAGGACUGAAGCUGGGAAAAAAAUCUAAUCAAAACCCGUUACUGGAAUCUUUUGUUUAUACACAAUAGUCACCCAGCCCUGGUUCUGAGGGUAUAAGGAAAGCAAAACACCUCUCCUUUUGUAUGGACACAGUUUUACUAGUAAAAAUGUGCUUAUGCCAGUAUUUCUUAUUUUCACAGGCAAAAGUGAAUGAAGUACUUUAAUGUUAUUGUGGAUGAGUCCAGAGUCAGAUUUGCAGUGGCACACAACUGUUGGUAAAACAAAUGUAUCCCUUAACUAAGUAGUGAAGCUACAAAAGCUGUGUAUUAUCCAAGCUUCCUACAAAAAUGGAAGUCUUCAUUCCAAAUAGAGAUGCUCCAGUUCAGCCACAAGCCCUGGGCUUGAUGAAAGAAUCACCUGUUGAAACUCUUAGCACAAGGUUGAAUUAGCAGAUCAGCAUGGUCUCUUCUGGUGUUAAAAUCCAGGAAUCCAGAUGUGUAUCUUGGCUUGGAUAUCCCGUAGAAAGUGUAGUGUGCAGGGCACAGAGCGUGAGAGAGGCAUGCCACUGUACUGUGGGUUGCAAUCUGGGUCCUCUUCAGGGGUUGUCUGACCUUUAUUAUUGUCACCCUGACAUUGCCUUCUAGUCCUCUCUAGUGGAUUUGGAGGACCAGGACUCCAUAGAAAGCUUCCAGUUUAGGCCUCAGAAUACAUGGUGGCACAAAUUCAGCUCUAAUUUAAGCCCUUUCAGUAGACUUUUAAUAACAUACCUGAGUAUGCUCACAGGUUAAUGGUAUUGCGUUAAUUUAGUGAGGCUUUGAGAGAGAACUUUUCAGGAAGCUGGUGGAUCCAUUUCAGUCCUUCGUAUCUUAGUCCCUUAUCUGUCAUGAUAGAGGUCUGUUCUCUGGAACUUCUGAUCCUGCAUCCAUUCCCAAAUGAUGGCGUAUCCAUGGGGCUUGUAUGCUACUAUACUGUCAUGUUAUAUCCUUUACAUAACACCGAGCUGGCAACCCACAGCGUCUUGAGCUGAUGAGGACCCUCGGAUGCUAUUAAAGUUCCAUUAUGCAGCUCCUUUCACCAUCUUUUUGCUUGUGGGAAGGUUUCCAGGUGCAGAACUGGACUUGUGUGCAUUUCCCCAGCUCACAAACAGAAGAUGAUUUAAUUGCACAAGAAAAUGUUCCCUCUAAUCUCAUUGAAUUAGUCAUCUCUCCCUCAGUCAUCUCUCUAUAUUUUUGGUUAGAGAGACUGAAAAUCUUAAUAUAUCAAUGACAUUUAUAACACAUGUUAAUAUUAUAAAACGUCAGUGCUCUAUUUGCAGAAAUGAAUACUGAUGUGAUGGGAGCGUUUUAUUAUGUCAAUGACUUUCAUAAUAAAUAUGAUAAAAACUGUGUCAUCUUUUAUUUUCCCCCUAAAUAAAAAAAAUAUAAAGCCACCUAACCAAUUAUCUCAAGGUUACUGCUCCAUUACCUGGUUAAUUUAUUCAACAGAGCUAUUAAAAAAAAAGUUU